UUUAAAAACAUACGCAUGUUUGUACGUAUGUAGUAUAUGUACAGCUAAUAUACAUAUAUAUAUAUAUAUAUAUAUAUAUAUAUAUUUAUAUAUAUUUGUCCCUGCUUUUUAUAUAACUUAUUUUUCUACCCUUUUUUUUUUUUUUUUUUUUUUUUUUUUUUUUUUUUUUUUUUUUUUUUUUUUUUUUUUUUUUUUUUUUUUUUUUUUUUUUUUUUUUUUUUUUUUUUUUUUUUUUUUUUAUUUGUGUUGUAAGAAGUGCGUGUAUGUAUGUUUAUACGCUCACGUGUUUAUGCGCUCGUGUGUUUAUGCGUUCGUGUGUUUAUGCGCUCAUGUGUUUAUGCGCUCAUGUGUUUAUGCGUUCGUGUUUUUAUACGCUCGUGUUUUUA
rnacentral:lncRNA from 1 species